GAUGAACGCUAGCGGCAGGCCUAACACAUGCAAGUCGAGGGGUAGAGGAAGCUUGCUUCCUUGAGACCUGCGCACGGGUGCGUAACGCGUAUGCAAUCUACCUUGUACAGGGGGAUAGCCCAGAGAAAUUUGGAUUAAUACCUCAUAGUGUUUAAGAGUGGCAUCACUUUUUUACUAAAGUUCCAACGGUACAAGAUGAGCAUGCGUCCCAUUAGCUAGUUGGUGUGGUAACGGCAUACCAAGGCAAUGAUGGGUAGGGGUCCUGAGAGGGAGGUCCCCCACACUGGUACUGAGACACGGACCAGACUCCUACGGGAGGCAGCAGUGAGGAAUAUUGGGCAAUGGAGGCAACUCUGACCCAGCCAUGCCGCGUGCAGGAAGACGGUCCUAUGGAUUGUAAAACUGCUUUUGUACGAGAAGAAACAUCCCG
rnacentral:rRNA from 1 species